ACUUCAAAUAUAUGCACAAGUUGCUUUGGAUAAAAGCAUCUGCUAAAUGGCUUAUA
rfam:Salmo salar isolate Sally breed double haploid chromosome ssa21, whole genome shotgun sequence.